rnacentral:rRNA from 1 species
GCGUCGUCUGCUUAACAUGCAGUCGAACGGCAGCAUGAUCUAGCUUGCUAGAUUGAUGGCGAGUGGCGAACGGGUGAGUAAUACAUCGGAACGUGCCCUGUAGUGGGGGAUAACUAGUCGAAAGAUUAGCUAAUACCGCAUACGACCUGAGGGUGAAAGUGGGGGACCGCAAGGCCUCAUGCUAUAGGAGCGGCCGAUGUCUGAUUAGCUAGUUGGUGAGGUAAAGGCUCACCAAGGCGACGAUCAGUAGCUGGUCUGAGAGGACGAUCAGCCACACUGGGACUGAGACACGGCCCAGACUCCUACGGGAGGCAGCAGUGGGGAAUUUUGGACAAUGGGCGAAAGCCUGAUCCAGCAAUGCCGCGUGUGUGAAGAAGGCCUUCGGGUUGUAAAGCACUUUUGUCCGGAAAGAAAUGGCUCUGGUUAAUACCUGGGGUCGAUGACGGUACCGGAAGAAUAAGGACCGGCUAACUACGUGCCAGCAGCCGCGGUAAUACGUAGGGUCCAAGCGUUAAUCGGAAUUACUGGGCGUAAAGCGUGCGCAGGCGGUUGUGCAAGACCGAUGUGAAAUCCCCGAGCUUAACUUGGGAAUUGCAUUGGUGACUGCACGGCUAGAGUGUGUCAGAGGGGGGUAGAAUUCCACGUGUAGCAGUGAAUGCGUAGAGAUGUGGAGGAAUACCGAUGGCGAAGGCAGCCCCCUGGGAUAACACUGACGCUCAUGCACGAAAGCGUGGGGAGCAAACAGGAUUAGAUACCCUGGUAGUCCACGCCCUAAACGAUGUCAACUAGUUGUUGGGGAUUCAUUUCCUUAGUAACGUAGCUAACGCGUGAAGUUGACCGCCUGGGGAGUACGGUCGCAGAUAAACCGAAAUAUUAAUAAUACACACAAA